rnacentral:tRNA from 1 species
CACCAGAGGGUGCAAUAAG